GAUGAACGCUGGCGGCGUGCCUAAUACAUGCAAGUCGAGCGAACAGACGAGGAGCUUGCUCCUCUGACGUUAGCGGCGGACGGGUGAGUAACACGUGGAUAACCUACCUAUAAGACUGGGAUAACUUCGGGAAACCGGAGCUAAUACCGGAUAAUAUAUUGAACCGCAUGGUUCAAUAGUGAAAGACGGUUUUGCUGUCACUUAUAGAUGGAUCCGCGCCGCAUUAGCUAGUUGGUAAGGUAACGGCUUACCAAGGCGACGAUGCGUAGCCGACCUGAGAGGGUGAUCGGCCACACUGGAACUGAGACACGGUCCAGACUCCUACGGGAGGCAGCACUAGGGAAUCUUCCGCAAUGGGCGAAAGCCUGACGGAGCAACGCCGCGUGAGUGAUGAAGGUCUUCGGAUCGUAAAACUCUGUUAUUAGGGAAGAACAAAUGUGUAAGUAACUAUGCACGUCUUGACGGUACCUAAUCAGAAAGCCACGGCUAACUACGUG
rnacentral:rRNA from 1 species